rnacentral:tmRNA from 1 species
GGGGACGACAUGGCUUCGACGCUGGUAACAAAACCAAAGGUGCAUGCCGAGUGUAUAGUGGCACUCGUACUCCAAUCGCUAUAACUCAUAGUUGCAAAUGAUGACAACUACGGUGCUCAACUAGCUGCGUAAGCAGUGAAAAAGCACUUUUAGGGCUACGGCCCUAACGGUCUUUAGCAAGGUGCCUGUAUCGCGCUAAUGACUGUCACUCAGAAC